rnacentral:lncRNA from 1 species
UAAUUUUAACCUAAACCCUAUUGCAUAAGUUUACUGUUUUAACCCUUAUGCUCACACCUAAUCUCCUAUUUUCAUGAACAACCCUAAUGCUACUCUUUUAACCCUAAUGCUCACACCUAAUCUCCUAUUUUCAUGAACAACCCUAAUGUUCAUACCUAAUCUCCUAUUUCAUGAACAAAACAAAUCGGCAUCGCUUUAUUUCCCUUAUUUAUUCAAAAUAAAUCACCCUAUUUCUUCAA